GUUCUUAUAGUUAAAUAAUAACGGUGGUUUUUCAAAUCAUUAGUCCUGGUUAAAGUCCGGGUGGGAACUA
rnacentral:tRNA from 1 species